UUCCUGUUGGUCUAUGGACAGCUUCAAACUUGAAAUAUUUGAUCCUAAGUGAUAAUUUGUUCACGGGUGAGCUUCCUAACGAAGCGUCAAGGAAUCUUUUAAGGCUAGAGAUCAGCAACAACAGGUUUUCUGGUAAAAUCCCCACCGGAGCUUCUUGGAGGAAUCUCAUAGUUUUUAAUGCCAGUAAUAACUUGUUUUCUGGCACAAUCCCUCCAGAAUUAACUGCUCUUCCUCUUCUCACUACUCUUCUGCUUGAUAGGAACAACCUCAGUGGAGCUCUUCCAUCUGAUAUAGUCUCAUGG
rnacentral:misc_RNA from 1 species